rnacentral:tRNA from 1 species
UUAAUAGAAGCCAAAACUAGAGGCUAUUCACUGUUAAUGAAUUUAUUGUAAAUACCUAUUAAA